CUUGAGAAGGCUUGAAGAGAUUGUUAGACAAGGAGGAGCAAGGUGGUGAUCAAAGGAAUCGAGUACUGGAGGUUUGGAGACACAGGAAACACGUUUCCAGGGAACCUGCGGACUAGCGGAUUGUGUGCAAGUAGCUCGAAGAGGUUAUAGCCUGCGUACUACGAGAGACAUCAUGGUUAUCACACGCAAUGGGGCGAGUUCGAGCGGUGCGAGUGACGAGGAGAUUCGUCAGAUUAUUCAGGAAGAGGUAGCUGCGGCGGUCCGGGCUGAGAUCCCGGAGAUGUUUGGGUCUAUUAAGACCACGUUGAUGGAGGAGUUUGAGGAGCGGUGCGCCGCAAUUUCUGAAGCUGCAGUUGCUGCCGCUACCGCAGCGGUGGCUGCUGCCAGGCCGCAAGGGGGUGAUUCAUUACCAUUCAGGGAAUUCAGCAACACGAAACCCCCUGAAUUUGAUGGGACGCAGGAUCCGAUUGCAGCCAUGAGGUGGAUCGCCGACAUCGAGGGGUGCUUCUAUACUUGCUCAUGCCCGGAACACUUGAGGGUACGGUUCGCC